GGUAGUCCACGCUGUAAACGAUGGCCACUAGGUGUGGGGGGUAUCGACCCCCUCCGUGCCGCAGCAAACGCGAUAAGUGGCCCGCCUGGGGAGUACGGCCGCAAGGCUAAAACUCAAAGGAAUUGACGGGGCCCGCACAAGCAGCGGAGCGUGUGGUUUAAUUCGACGCAACGCGAAGAACCUUACCCGGGUUUGACAUGCAGUGUUCAGCCUCGGAAACGGGCGCCUUUCGGGGGGAACUGCACAGGUGCUGCAUGGCUGUCGUCAGCUCGUGCCGUGAGGUGUUGGGUUAAG
rnacentral:rRNA from 1 species